AAGACUAUAGACCUGCGGAGUACCUGCGGAAGGAUCACUGGUAGAUUGGGGGUGGAGAGGGAGGAGUGGGGAAGGAAGUGGAGAUGUUUGAGAAAUCGAACAAUCCAUACUCACCACACCGCACACCAAUCCACACCAUAUUCACACGCUUGCUGGUUUGACUGUAUCUUUCCAAUACAUACACAACUUUCAGCAACGGAUCUCU
rnacentral:misc_RNA from 1 species